rnacentral:lncRNA from 1 species
AUAAACAAUUAUUUCAAUGUAUCUGUUAGCUUCUAAUAGAAACAGGAUAAAGGAUACUUAUGCAUAUACUUUUGUAUCUGUAUAGUAAGAUAGUCGACUGCAGGACACAAGUCCUUCUUUCAGCACCCCAAAAAAACAUUUGCCUCAGCCGACAAAGCACGGUUAUGUUUAAAAUGAGUAAGUCAUGGACAUUUGGUUUAAAGUUGUUAAUCAAAUAUUCUACAUUUAUUUUUCGGCAUGUUCAUUUUUUGUUUGUAUAAAAGACUGUUCACGUCAUAAUCCAU